rnacentral:rRNA from 1 species
UACGUAGGGGGCGAGCGUUGUCCGGAUUCAUUGGGCGUAAAGAGCUCGUAGGCGGCUUGGCAAGUCGGGUGUGAAAACUCCAGGCUCAACCUGGAGACGCCACCCGAUACUGCCAUGGCUAGAGUCCGGUAGGGGACCACGGAAUUCCUGGUGUAGCGGUGAAAUGCGCAGAUAUCAGGAGGAACACCGGUGGCGAAGGCGGUGGUCUGGGCCGGAACUGACGCUGAGGAGCGAAAGCGUGGGGAGCGAACAGG